UGCAUAGAUAUUGAAGGUCUUCAUGUGUUGGG
rnacentral:piRNA from 1 species